rnacentral:rRNA from 1 species
AUUGAACGCUGGCGGCAUGCCUUACACAUGCCAGUCGAACGGCAGCACGGGUGCUUGCACCUGGUGGCGAGUGGCGAACGGGUGAGUAAUACAUCGGAACAUGUCCUGUAGUGGGGGAUAGCCCGGCGAAAGCCGGAUUAAUACCGCAUACGAUCUACGGAGGAAAGCGGGGGACCUUCGGGCCUCGCGCUAUAGGGUUGGCCGAUGGCUGAUUAGCUAGUUGGUGGGGUAAAGGCCUACCAAGGCGACGAUCAGUAGCUGGUCUGAGAGGACGACCAGCCACACUGGGACUGAGACACGGCCCAGACUCCUACGGGAGGCAGCAGUGGGGAAUUUUGGACAAUGGGCGAAAGCCUGAUCCAGCAAUGCCGCGUGUGUGAAGAAGGCCUUCGGGUUGUAAAGCACUUUUGUCCGGAAAGAAAUCCUUGGCCCUAAUACGGUCGGGGGAUGACGGUACCGGAAGAAUAAGCACCGGCUAACUACGUG